UGGCGGCGUGCCUAAUACAUGCAAGUCGAACGAAACUUUCUUACACCGAAUGCUUGCAUUCAUCGUAAGAAGUUGAGUGGCGGACGGGUGAGUAACACGUGGGUAACCUGCCUAAAAGAAGGGGAUAACACUUGGAAACAGGUGCUAAUACCGUAUAUCUCUAAGGAUCGCAUGAUCCUUAGAUGAAAGAUGGCUCUGCUAUCGCUUUUAGAUGGACCCGCGGCGUAUUAACUAGUUGGUGGGGUAACGGCUUACCAAGGUGAUGAUACGUAGCCGAACUGAGAGGUUGAUCGGCCACAUUGGGACUGAGACACGGCCCAAACUCCUACGGGAGGCAGCAGUAGGGAAUCUUCCACAAUGGACGCAAGUCUGAUGGAGCAACGCCGCGCGAGUGAAGGAGGUCUUCGGAUCGUAAAACUCUGUUGUUAGAGAAGAACACGAGUGAGAGUAACUGUUCAUUCGAUGACGGUAUCUAACCAGCAAGUCACGGCUAACUACGUGCCAGCAGCCGCGGUAAUACGUAGGUGGCAAGCGUUGUCCGGAUUUAUUGGGCGUAAGGGGAACGCAGGCGGUCUUUUAAGUCUGAUGUGAAAGCCUUCGGCUUAACCGGAGUAGUGCAUUGGAAACUGGAAGACUUGAGUGCAGAAGAGGAGAGUGGAACUCCAUGUGUAGCGGUGAAAUGCGUAGAUAUAUGGAAGAACACCAGUGGCGAAAGCGGCUCUCUGGUCUGUAACUGACGCUGAGGUUCGAAAGCGUGGGUAGCAAACAGGAUUAGAUACCCUGGUAGUCCACGCCGUAAACGAUGAAUGCUAGGUGUUGGAGGGUUUCCGCCCUUCAGUGCCGCAGCUAACGCAAUAAGCAUUCCGCCUGGGGAGUACGACCGCAAGGUUGAAACUCAAGGAAUUGACGGGGGCCCGCACAAGCGGUGGAGCAUGUGGUUUAAUUCGAAGCAACGCGAAGAACCUUACCAGGUCUUGACAUCCUUUGACCACCUAAGAGAUUAGGCUUUCCUUCGGGGACAAGUGACA
rnacentral:rRNA from 1 species